UACUUGGGCCAGACAAUUUAUCCAGGAUUUCAAAAGCAACUUUCCAGUGCUACCAAGUACAAAAAGGAAUUGGAGGCCACCUGAAGGAAGGGACUAGAUAAAGCUGCAUCGCAGAGUGGAUAAUUACUAAUCUACUUGAUUCUUUAAACACCACUGGCAAGUUUCUUCUCAUGCUGGUCACUAUAACUACCAUGGACAGCAAGGAGCUGGCAGGACAGCUGGAAGCUGAUCUGUGCCAGGGUUUUAGCAGCCAGACAAAACACUGUUGAGUAACCUUAAAAAUGUUUUCCCUGGUGACUGUUGCCAUGUCCCUGUGCCUGAAAGGACAACGGGAGAGAGCCUGCAGAGGUGAGGGUGUAGCCAUGUGUAAAAGGCAGCGUUGUUAGAAAGCUGGGGGAAGGCAGAGAGAGGACUCAGAAUUGAAAAAGAAGUGUUAGAGCUUCUCAACACUCAUUUGGUUCACUCAGGAGCAAAAUUAAUGCUAAAUUAAAGGUCAUUCUCAGCACUGGGGUCCAGGAGUAUUCCCAUCAAAGCAAGAAGGAUGUCAGCAGAAACAUUGCAGCAUACACAUUUACAAUCCAGAAAUCAAAGCUGAAAUGCUCAUUUUAGGCAUCUUCAGGACUCUUUGGAGCAGUGGCUGUGCAGCCUGGCAAUGACAAACUGCCUGGAACGUGGAGCAGCGAUUUGGAGAGCAGAAAAUGAACUCGCCAGGAUGCCCGGUCACGUCAGGGCAGGGAAGGAAACUGAAAAUGCAGCUUUUGUGCCGAGCAGUGUUUACACAAGCCGCUGGGAAGUGCCUGAGCGCGAGUCCCAGGCGCGAGUAUCGGCCUUUCCCAGCAGACAGAGGCAGGACCGCGGAGGCCCCGGGGCAGCUCCGCCCGGCCGAGCACCCCCGGCAGCCCCGGGGAAGCAAAGUUCGCUCACCUCGGCCGCGGCCAUCGCGGCCGCGCCGGCCACGGGCACAGUCACGAUCCCGAUCCCAGAUCCACUCCCGGCUCCGACCUCAGCUCCAGUCCCGGUCCCAGUCGCAGCUCCGGUCCCGAUCCUGGUCACAGUCACGAUCCCAGCUCCGGUCCCGAUCCCGAUCCCGAUCCCGGUCCCGGUGCCGGUCCCGGCUCCAACCCCGCCGCGCUCCCGGCGCUCCCGCAGCUCGUCCCGCCCGCCGGGGCGGGGAGUCCCCGGGCCAGCCCCUCUCCCGGUGCUGCUGUGCCGGGCCAGGCUUGUCCCUGCCCCUCGCAGCACGCUCAGGAGCGGCGUCCCAGUUUUCUUGUACCUUUUCGAGGUUUGCUGUCCUUUAACCAGCCUCGGUGUCACAGAGCUGGGAAGGAACAUAAUCCAUGUCCUUGGGUCCUUGUCUGGAGCAGCAGGACACUGCCAGGGACACCCAGCUGCCUCUGGCGGCCCCACAAGGUCCUUUCCCAGCUGGAUUUCC
rnacentral:lncRNA from 1 species